AUUGAACGCGGGCGGCAUGCUUUACACAUGCAAGUCGAACGGUAACAGGCCGCAAGGUGCUGACGAGUGGCGAACGGGUGAGUAAUGCAUCGGAACGUGCCCAGUCGUGGGGGAUAACGCAGCGAAAGCUGCGCUAAUACCGCAUACGAUCUAUGGAUGAAAGCGGGGGACCGUAAGGCCUCGCGCGAUUGGAGCGGCCGAUGUCAGAUUAGGUAGUUGGUGGGGUAAAGGCCCACCAAGCCAACGAUCUGUAGCUGGUCUGAGAGGACGACCGACCACACUGGGACUGGGACACGGCCCAGACUCCUACGGGAGGCAGCAGUGGGGAAUUUUGGACAAUGGGCGCAAGCCUGAUCCAGCAAUGCCGCGUGCAGGAAGAAGGCCUUCGGGUUGUAAACUGCUUUUGUACGGAACGAAACGGUCCUGGUUAAUACCCGGGGCUAAUGACGGUACCGUAAGAAUGAGCACCGGCUAACUACGUGCCAGCCGCCGCGGUAAAAC
rnacentral:rRNA from 1 species